GACGAACGCUGGCGGCAGGCCUAACACAUGCAAGUCGAGCGGCAGCGGGAAAGUAGCUUGCUACUUUUGCCGGCGAGCGGCGGACGGGUGAGUAAUGCCUGGGAAAUUGCCCAGUCGAGGGGGAUAACAGCGGGAAACGACUGCUAAUACCGCAUACGCCCUACGGGGGAAAGCAGGGGACCUUCGGGCCUUGCGCGAUUGGAUAUGCCCAGGUGGGAUUAGCUAGUUGGUGAGGUAAUGGCUCACCAAGGCGACGAGCCCUAGCUGGUCUGAGAGGAUGAUCAGCCACACUGGAACUGAGACACGGUCCAGACUCCUACGGGAGGCAGCAGUGGGGAAUAUUGCACAAUGGGGGAAACCCUGAUGCAGCCAUGCCGCGUGUGUGAAGAAGGCCUUCGGGUUGUAAAGCACUUUCAGCGAGGAGGAAAGGUUGAUGCCUAAUACGUAUCAACUGUGACGUUACUCGCAGAAGAAGCACCGGCUAACUCCGUGCCAGCAGCCGCGGUAA
rnacentral:rRNA from 1 species